CCUGAUGGCUCAGAGGGUAAAGAACCUGCCUGUGAUGCAGGAGACCAGGGUUUGAACCCUGGGUCAGGA
rnacentral:tRNA from 1 species